CAACUUUAUUCAUCUAAGAUCUAACUCUCUCUCUCUCUCGGUCUCCGCUUCAUACCAACUCCUAGCCUCUAGAGUUCAAGAUGCUAAUAUGAGACACCCGGUACUCUGGUGGAUUUGAAGUUUGUGUGCGUAUGGACGUCAAUUGCUAAAUCUACGACCUCAAACUCUCUGUAUGCUAUGAAAUCAUAGGACGAAAAUGAUUCCCUUGACACUAUCAUCAGACAAGCUGCAGAAGAGCCAUCUAUUUCUUUCUCAAGGGCCGGGGAUAGCCCAGUCCUGUGGAUUCAGCUACUUCAUGCCUUAUGACAUGCAAAAUGAAAAACGAACAUUAAAUGUUGCUCAUAAAAGAGAAUUGAAGUGUAUAUAAAGGGAAAAUGAAAUGAGAAUAUCUCCAACUAUUACAAGGA